rnacentral:rRNA from 1 species
UGGGGAAUCUUCCGCAAUGGACGAAAGUCUGACGGAGCAACGCCGCGUGAGUGAUGACGGUCUUCGGAUUGUAAAGCUCUGUUAAUCGGGACGAAUGGUUUGUGUGCAAAUAGUGCAUAGACAUGACGGGACCGGAAUAGAAAGCCACGGCUAACUACGUGCCAGUAGCCGCGGUAAUACGUAGGUGGCAAGCGUUGUCCGGGAUUAUUGGGCGUAAAGAGCGCGCAGGCGGAGUAGCCAGUCAGUCUUAAAAGUUCGGGGCUUAACCCCGUGAUGGGAUUGAAACUACUAGUCUAGAGGAUCGGAGAGGAAAGUGGAAUUCCUAGUGUAGCGGUGAAAUGCGUAGAUAUUAGGAAGAACACCAGUGGCGAAGGCGACUUUCUGGACGAACACUGACGCUGAGGCGCGAAAGCCAGGGGAGCGAACGGG